CUGACUCAUAACCAGAUGGGCUCUUGCUCCUUCCUCCUGAAUUAAACAUAACCAUCCCAGGAAGGGGCCGAGCAGGGCCAAACAGGGGCGGUGCCCACUAGGGGAGAGCUGGCCACGGGGAGCCAUCCCAAGGGCCACAGGCAGGCUGGGCUUCCCGGACUCCUCAGACUCCCUCUCCCCAGGGAGUGACGGGGAGGGACCAGUGCUGUUCUGCCCCCACCCGUGGAGUCAGCCUGCCUCCAAGGAAACCCGAGGAGGGGGCAGAGGCGUCCCUAUGGCAGUAACAAAUGUCCUGAAGGACCCAAAUAGAGGCUGAGAUCUAGAGUGACGGGCUAGGGCAGGUGGUAACCAAGCCAGGAAUGGGACGAGAUGCCAGAACCAGCAGGAGAUCUGUUCAAGUCCUAACCCCUUGGUUCCUGUAAAUGUGACCUUAUUUGGAAAAAGGUCUUUGCAGAUGCAAGUGAAGGAUCUUGAGCUGACAUCAUCCUGGCUUUAGGGUGAGCCUUAAAUCCAAUGAUCGGCGUCCAUAUAAGAAGUGGGAAGACAGAGAGGGAAAGCCAUGUGAAGGUGGAGGCAGGACAAGCCAAGGAAUGCCAGGAGCUGCCAGGAGCCACCAGGAGCAGGAAGAAGUGGGGAGGAUCCUGCCCCAGAGCCUUUGGCGGCAGCGGCCCUGCCGGCACCUGGACAUUUGGCCUCCAGAACUGGAAGAAUAAAUUUCUGUUGUUUGAAGACACCCUGUUGGUGGUCAUUUGUUACAAGAGCUUUGAAAACAAAUAUACCACAAUAGCCCUUCCACGAUCCUGCAAGCCUGCAAGCAGGUGACAGAAACGUAGGUCUCCUUGGCACCCCCAUCCCAUGGAGCUUGGCCAGCCACGGGGGCAGCAUGUGGGAGGAGGCAAGGCAAACAUAUUCUAAAGGUGGCGCUCACCCUGGCUGGGCUGGAGGCUGAUGAAGCUUCAGCCUGUGCUCCUGAGACAGCGGAGGCUCUCCCGGGCCCAGAGACCUGCAGACCUCAAGGGGAAGCAAUCUCAGCGAAAGUGCUGCCUGCGGUCCGCGGUCAGGCAAGGAGGAAGUGGUGAGCGCGGCAGGAGCUCAAGGCCGGGACAUGGGGGUGUGCCCAGCGAAGCGAACAGCAAAGGUGAAUUUGCCGGGAUGCUGAUAAAGCUUACGUUUCUGCGCCCCCUCUAAAGCCCUGUACCUGCUUUUGUAGUUUUUUCUGGAAGGGGAUGCCCCUCAGUUGUAUCAGCAUCGGAUCCCACAAACCCUGGAUCCCUCCCUGCUAACACCAGGGCCACAAGAGCACAUCGCGCAUGCAGAGCCAAUUGUGUUGAUGUUUUCUCAGGUUUUCUGUUGUCUGACCAUCCAGCCAACCAGUUUUUUUAUGCAGUCGUUCAUCCAGCCCUCUACACAGCCAACCAAUCUCCAUGAUUGAGUCUCUGCCACGGGACAUACUCCCUGCUCUCAAGAGACUCAUGCUUCGAGGCGGGGGAAAGGGGGCAUAAAUAAGAAGCAAUUAAACUGGCUCUGCCAUGAGGAGUGGGGGCAAGAGGUGAGCUGAAGGGAAGAACAGUGGAGGGAAUGAUUGCCUCAAUCUGGAGGUCAGAACCGCCCUACCACGGAGAUGACCUGAGUUUUGAAGGAUGCGUAGAAGUCACCAUCAGACAAGAGGGAGGGCAGCUCAGGCAGGGGAACAGCAGGGGCAAAGGUGUGGGACAGCACUGGGCACUUGGGGACUCACUGUGACUCAGCCUGUGACUCAGCCCUCCUGUGGCACCAGGGCUGCUGGAUGGAAAGGGAAGAGCAGGGAAGGCCAGAGCCAGGCAGUGGGGAGCGAGGGCAGGAGGGGAGAUGGGAAAGAGGGCCUCACGGAGUGUGCUGGUUUCCUGUGGCUGCCGUAACAAAGCACCAUACACAUGCGGGCUGAAAACAGCAGAAAUGUAUUGUUUUAGAGUUCUGGAGACUGAAGCCUGAAAUCAAGGUGUUGCAGGGCCAGGCUCUAAGGGCAGAACCUUCCUGCCUCUUCCAGCUUCUGGUUUCAAUCUUCAGCGUUCCUUGGCUUUCAGCUGCCCCACUCCAAUCUCUGCCUCCAGUGUGGUGUUCCUGUGGGUCUCUCGUACCUCUUCUUAUAAAGACACUCAGAUAAGUUUAGGCCCCCCAAUUGAGCCUAACGCGAUUGCAUCUACAAAGACCCUAUUUCCAAAUAAGGUCCUAUUCACGGUUACUGGGAGCUGGAGCUUCAACAGAUCUUUUGGGAAGACACAAUUCAACUCACGACAGGGAGGAAGAAUUGCGAGUACUUGCUACUGCUGUGAUGCCGUGGAGUGAGCAGAAAGGUUUUCUUCUCACUCCCCAUCCCAACAAAUAAUGCCACCAGGAGACAAGAAUGAACAAGACAAGAUUCCCACCUUCAAGGAAUCAUGGAUCCAGCACUGGUGGCAGGGCACAUACCCAGAAAUAUAGAGGACAUGUGAGAUUGCAGGGGCAGGACAGUGUCUGGCCUGGGCUGUGCCCUUCAGCUUCCAAGACAAAGUGCCCGUGAGGCAGAUGAAGUCCACGUGCAGGUUGCUCAGGGACCGCCUCCACUCCACGGGUGCUCAGAUCAAGGCCGCAGAUGGCUGAUUUACUCGAACAGCCUGCUGGGCUUUGCAAUCUGGCUUCCCCAACAUUGUGCUCGGUUCUAGAAACUGCAGCCCACAGACAGCAAGGUCACUUGGCUCAUGGAUGCGCUGCCCCAGCUGGACCUUGUAUCCCCGGGCCGUGGGCUGCGAGACAGGGAGAGGGUCGGCGGCUCAGGGCAGCGAGCCUUGGUGGUGGCGUCACCACAGAGACACUGGGGGACACCUGGGGCAGCAGCGGUGACCUGCAGAAGGGACAGAAUGGCUCCCGGGCAAUCCUCGGCCCCACCACACCAGACUCACAGGUGCUUGGCUGUCUCAUGAUGUGAGCAGCUUGCCCUGGCUUUGAGGGGAAUCUGAAGAGCCUGACCCUGGAGCUUUCUUUUGAACCUCCCGGGUUCAAGCGAUUCUCCUGCCUCCACCUCCCAAGUAGCUGGGAUUACAAGUGCACACCACCACGCCCA
rnacentral:lncRNA from 1 species